AAAACCGAUUUGAUUGCAAAUUUUCAAAUUCCUUGAUUUUGAUCUAUUUUGUUGUUCCAGAUUCUGGAUCGUUGCUUCAAAUUCGAAUAGAGUUGAGUUGAUUCGUAAGGGGAGAUGGUGCUGGUUUUAGCCUUGGGAGAUCUUCACAUCCCGCAUAGGGCGGCUGAUCUUCCUGCAAAGUUUAAGUCUAUGCUUGUUCCUGGAAAGAUCCAACAUGUAAUCUGUACUGGUAACCUAUGCAUUAAAGAGGUUCAUGAUUACUUAAAGACUCUUUGUCCUGACUUGCAU
rnacentral:misc_RNA from 1 species